rnacentral:rRNA from 1 species
GAUGAACGCUGGCGGCGUGCCUAAUACAUGCAAGUCGAACGCGCAGCGAGAGGUGCUUGCACCUUUCAAGCGAGUGGCGAACGGGUGAGUAACACGUGGAUAACCUGCCUCAAGGCUGGGGAUAACAUUUGGAAACAGAUGCUAAUACCGAAUAAAACUUAGUAUCGCAUGAUAUCAAGUUAAAAGGCGCUAAGGCGUCACCUAGAGAUGGAUCCGCGGUGCAUUAGUUAGUUGGUGGGGUAAAGGCUUACCAAGACGAUGAUGCAUAGCCGGGUUCGGAGACUGAUCGGCCACAUGGGGACUGAGACAAGGACCAAACUCCGACGGGAGGCUGCAGUAGGGAAUCUUCCACUAUGGACGCAAGCCUGAUGGAGCAACGCCGCGUGUGUGAUGAAGGCUUUCGGGUCGUAAAGCACUGUUGUAUGGGAAGAAAUGCUAAAAUAGGGAAUGAUUUUAGUUUGACGGUACCAUACCAGAAAGGGACGGCUAAAUACGUGCCAGCCGCCGCGGUAA